GUGCCAGCCGCCGCGGUAACACGUAGGAGGCGAACGUUAUCCGGAUUUACUGGGCGUAAAGCGCGUGUAGGUGGUUUGGUAAGUAGGGCGUGAAAGCUCCCGGCUCAACUGGGAGAGGCCGUUCUAAACUGCCAAGCUAGAGGAUGGUAGAGGGAGGUGGAAUUCCGGGUGUAGCGGUGGAAUGCGCAGAUAUCCGGAGGAACACCAGUGGCGAAGGCGGCCUCCUGGGCCACUCCUGACACUCAGACGCGAAAGCUAGGGUAGCAAACGGGAUUAGAGACCCCGGUAGUCCUAGCCCUAAACGAUGUAGACUUGGCGUCGGUGGUUUAAACGCCAUCGGUGUCGCAGCUAACGCGAUAAGUCUACCGCCUGGGGACUACGGCCGCAAGGUUAAAACUCAAAUAAAUUGACGG
rnacentral:rRNA from 1 species